rnacentral:pre_miRNA from 1 species
AGACUGGUUCAUGAUAACAAUGCAUCGUAAAACCUUCAGAAGGAGAGAAUGUUUUGUGGGCCAUUUGUUUUUGUGUGGCAGUUUUAAGUUAUUAGUUUUUAAAAUCAGU